rnacentral:rRNA from 1 species
GACGAACGCUGGCGGCGCGCUUAACACAUGCAAGUCGAGCGAAGCGGCGGACGGGUGAGUACCACGUGAGUAACCUGCCUUAGACCUUGGGAUAGCCUCGGGAAACCGGUAUUAAUACCAAAUGGUCUAAGAUGGACUCGAGUCCCAUUAGAUGGUUGGUGAGGGAACGGCCCCCCAAGGCGACGAUGGGUAGCCGGGAUGAGAGGGUGAGCGGCCACAUUGGAACUGGGAAACGGUCCAGACUCUACGCGAGGCAGGAGUGGGGAAUAUUGCACAAUGGAGGGAACGAUGAUGCAGCGACGCCGGGUGAACGAAGAAGGCGUUCGAGUCGGAAAGGUCUUUUAUAUGGGAAGCGGUACCAUAAGAAAAAGCCCCGGCUAACUACGUGCCAGCAGCCGCGGUAAUAC